rnacentral:lncRNA from 1 species
AGACAGAGCGGCAACUGCCAGCCACUUGCCACCAGGUCCUCCCUUUGACAAGCCCAACUCGCCCAAAGCCCUCCCGGCCCGACGGGGCCCUCCCGUGCUCCCGGCUCAGUGGCAGCGGCGGUUCCCGGUCCGGGUCCGCGGGUGCCUGCCGUGGCCCUCCCCGCACCACGCGCAGCCCUCCAGGCCCCCGGGGCGCGCCGAGGCGCUUCCUUACCUUGGUGAGUCCUCCGCAGCGGGUGUGGCCGGCUCUGCGGGCGGCCCCGGGCCAGGGCCGGGGGGCGGGGGGCGGGGGUGCCGGGCUAGGGGGGAGCGGCAGGGUGAGGGCUGGGGGCGCGGGCACGGUGCCCAGCGGGGGUGAGGGGGCCGUUGGCAGCCCCAGGGCCCUCGGGCGGGCCGGGCCGAGCCGGAGGAGGUGCGCGGCGCGCGGGGCCGGGGAGGGGCGCCGGGGCCCGGGCCGGAGGGCGGAGGGCUCCCUCCUGAGGCGGGCGGGGUGCUCCAGCCUGCGGGGCCGGCCCGGAGCCGGGCUAGGCGCGCGGGAGGGAGGCCCGGCGCCCGGGGAGCCGAGGACUGGGCGCGCGGAUCAGAGGGGCCGUUUUUCUUGCCUCGGCUGACAAAUCAAUCAGGGCCAGCCGGGCGCCGGGAGCGGCCACCCGGGCUGCGGCGCGCGGCUCCCCGCUCGCCCCGCGUUGCCAGCUGCCGGCCGCCUGGAGUGGGCGCGGGCCGCGGCGCGGGCUGGCUGCGGUCAUUAGGCUGCGGGCGCGUGCGGCCGGGGGCGGGGGCGGGGGCGGCGGCGAGCGCCGGGAGGGGGCGGCGCGGCGUCCCCCGCGUCCCCCGCGUCCCCGGCCUCCCCACCCCGCCCGCCGCCGUCCCGCGCCCGCUAGCGCUCGGCGUCCCCCGCCCCCCGCUCCGUGGCUGUCACCGGCCGGUCCCCCCGGCCGUCCCCGCCCGCCUCCCCCUGUCUCUUUCCAUCUCCCGGUCUCCGCGGCGUUUCUCUGCCUCCUUCCUCGCCUCUCCCGGCCUCUCUGGCUGUCCCCGGCUCUCUUCCUCACUGCCUCUCUCUUUUUCUCUUACCCCUCUCUCCUCGGCUGCUCUCACCACUUCCUCCCUCCCUCUCCGGCUUCCUUCUACCUCCCCUCACUCUCCCCCCUUUCUCGCCUUGCUCAGGGGGACUCGCUAUCUCUUUCUCUGUCUCUCCUUGGAACAGCGGCCCCCAAAAUGCAACUGAAGCCAUUUCCCUGCUCUGAGACCUCGGACAAGUCACUCCCCGCCAGGGCUGCAGUUUCCUGUCUCUAAAAGGAGUUGAUGAGCAGCUCUAGGUGGGGUGGCGAUGGGGGACGCAGGAGGUGCCCCGUGCCUGUGGUCCCCUGUUGAAGUUCACGCCUCCUCAAAUGCAGCGGCCACCCAGCGCUCGCUGGGUGCCAUGUGUGCCCCACAAAACACCUUUCCUCAGCCUCGAGGACAAGUACCAGAGGCCAGUUCCGCGGGAAAAGUUAAUGGUGGUUUCCUCCAGGGUCCCUAAAGCCCCUCCUGAAAAGUGACUGUGGUUCCCCUCCCCCUGUCCUCAGGUUUUGAGUGGGCACAACCUAAGCUGGAUCUGAUAGGCCCUGUCACCUGCUGGUUCCUCCCUGGUUGACACCAAGCAGAGGGGCAAUGCUCUCUCGCUGUCCUUAGACCCAAGCAGGAGAAAAAUCUACCCUCCCUCCUUCCCUCCCCAUUCCCCAUCACACCAUGAUUGGCUUUUAAGCUUCAGGGAUGUUUCCCGGACCGAGUGUGGCUUCAGAGUCAGAGAGAUGUGAGUUCAAGACCACUUGCUUAGGAGGAAGCAAAAGAGGAGGAGAAGGCAGAGGAAGGCGACGACUGAGAACAAAAGAAGAGCAGUGGCAAAGGA